rnacentral:rRNA from 1 species
AACUUUGCAUAAGCGCAAGCUUGACAGGGCUAUCCCGAGUGCCAUCCGCUGAGGAAGGCUUUUACCCAGUCUAGAACGCUGGGGGAAUAAGGAGAGGGCAAGUCUGGUGUCAGCCGCCGCGGUAAUACCAGCUCUCCGAGUGGUGUGGAUGUUUAUUGGGCCUAAAGCAUCCGUAGCUGGCUAGGUAAGUCCCUUGUUAAAUCCACCGAAUUAAUCGUUGGAUUGCGGGGGAUACUGCUUGGCUAGGGGACGAGAGAGGCAGACGGUAUUUCCGGGGUAGGGGUGAAAUCCUAUAAUCCCGGGAAGACCACCAGUGGCGAAGGCUGUCUGCUAGAACGCGCCCGACGGUGAGGGAUGAAAGCUGGGGGAGCGAACCGGAUUAGAUACCCGGGUAGUCCCAGCUGUAAACGAUGCAGACUAGGUGUUUGAACGGCCACGUGCCGUUCUAGUGCCGCAGGGAAGCUGUCAAGUCUGCCGCCUGGGGAGUACGAUCGCAAGAUUGAAACUUAAAGGAAUUGCG